UACGUAGGUGGCAAGCGUUGUCCGGAUUUAUUGGGUUUAAAGGGUACGUAGGCGGCCCUGUAAGUCAGUGCUGAAAUAUCCCGGCUUAACCGGGAGGGUGGCAUUGAUACUGCGGGGCUAGAGUACAGAUGAGGUAGGCGGAAUUGACGGUGUAGCGGUGAAAUGCUUAGAUAUCGUCAAGAACACCGAUAGUGAAGACAGCUAACUAAACUUUUACUGACGCUGAGGCACGAAAGUGUGGGGAUCAAACAGG
rnacentral:rRNA from 1 species